rnacentral:lncRNA from 13 species
AUGGAACAAGACAAAACAAAUGGAAAUAUGAAAAAUGGAGCAGCGAUGGCUUGAAAGCCGGUGAUGUUGAACGCCGCUCGAACAAGGAGAGGGGCCAACUUCGAUGGAAGUCGUGACAAUAUGGGCACAGUGCGUCAUGGCUGGAUAGGCUUCCACUGUCAAGCUCUAUGACAUAACCAACUGUGUUACCGCGGACCACUCUUACCACCUCAGUGCAAGCGAGCUCAUAUAAGACCGGGACAUGUACAUUACCAAUCCUGGCGCUAGGGUUUGAAAAUAGUAUAUAUACACUGUAUGUGCUUCUGUGCCCGUGAACCUCGUAUUUAGAAACAUCAAAUCUAAUGUUUUUUCAAUGAAUUCAGUUUUUUUUGUCUUACCCAACGCAGUCGCCAAGUAGUCAAGACUAUUGAUGGCUCAUGAGACCGCAUUGAAGUAAAUCUUAAUCACCAAAGCUUUGUUAAAAGAUAAUGUUUGGCUGCAGCAAAACAGUGAGUAGAGUGGACACACCCUUAGAAAAUCUGUUGCUAGGCCACUGCAUUAUUUUAGACAGCUCCUGUUAUUAUUUUGGAUGUUCGGAAAAAAUCCAUGUACAGUAGGCAACAGUGCCUUCAGAAAGUUUCCGACAGACAGACAGACAGACAGACAGACAGACAACACGUGUUAAAAAUCGAUGUUCAUGUUUACGUUUUAUAUCCUCUGCACUGUUGCCAAAACUUUAAUUCAGAUAAAUAUUUUAAUUGCAUACCUUAUUUUAUAUGUAAAUGUGUGACCUUCUGUUUUUCCCAUGCUAUCUAUCUAUAGUGCAAAGAGUGUACAAGGCUGUCAUCAAGGCAAAGGGUGGCUACUUUGAAAACUCUAAAAUCAAAAUAUAUAUUGAUUCAUUUAACACUUAAAAAAAAUGUUUUUAUUACUACAUGAUUCAAUAUGUGUUAUUUCAUAGUUUUUAUGUCUUAACUAUUAUUCUAGAUUGUAAAAAAUAGUUAAAAUAAAAUAACCCUUGAAUGAGUAGGUGUGUCCAAGUGUUUGACUGGUCCUGUAUAUUUGUAUAAACGACUUUAGUGCAUUCUUGUUUUUCUCUGAGUCGUGUGUGUGUGUCUGUAGACAUGUUCGAGGUGUCGGAGGUCUUCUGUGGGUGGGUCGCACUUUCAGAAUAGAAGCAUGCAUAAGCAAUGGUGUGUGGGCGCAAUGGGCACAGCUCUCUGUGAAGCACUUACUUUCAAAUUACAGCCUUCUUCAUAUAAGUUGAUUUAUUCUCUGUACUCAGAGAGAGUGUGUGUGUACUCAGAGAGAGUGUUCAUACUCUGCUCAGAACUCAGUGCUAGAUUGUAGAGACCUGUGAAAUAGUCCCUCUCAGACCGGAGGUAAUUAAAGACGAUCAGAAGAGACCCUGGGCCCCAGACUGGGGCUCUUAUGUGCUGAAAUAUUUUGUAUUUUUUUUUUCGAUGUCUCACAAGGACCCUCAAGAUACCUGGAGAUCAACAGAUUUUGUCCAUGUGUAGUUUGUCUGUGUGCUCUUGAAUCCACGCACGCACCCACACACACGCUUGCACACACAGCCUGCGUAUACACACGAACAUACACACAGACUCCAAACCAGACAAAUAGCCAGGCUAACAAGGACAGAAAGAGAGCGAGCAAGACACACUUGUGCUGAACGGCCAGCAAAUACUGCAUCCAAACGGGCAGAUGGACCAACACUCACAAACACACACACGUGACAUUCAGACAACACACAGUAUAGGCUGCAUGGUUGAUAUGUAGCUUGGCUUGCUUUAUUGACAGAUUAUGUAGUUUGGCUUGCUUUAUUGACAGAUUAUGUAGCUUGGCUUGCUUUAUUGACAGAUUAUGUAAUUUGGCUUGCUUUAUUGACAGAUUAUGUAAUUUGGCUUGCUUUAUUGACAGAUUAUGUAGCUUGGCUUGCUUUAUUGACAGAUUAUGUAACUUGGUUUGCUUUAUUGACAGAUUAUGUAACUUGGUUUGCUUUAUUGACAGAUUAUGUAACUUGGCUUGCUUUAUUGACAGAUUAUGUAACUUGGCUUGCUUUAUUGACAGAUUAUGUAGCUUGGCUUGCUUUAUUGACAGAUUGUCUGGUUAAUUUAUAGCUGGUUGAAGCAUAUCAUAUCUUGCUUCCCUCGCUGUGUUAACAGCAUCCACUAACAGCUUGGCUUUACUCUUUUAAAUAAUUCAAAUGUUGAAGCAUUAAAAUCCCAUUUGGAGACAUCCCCAAAGCCUUUGAGAGGAAUCUACUCCAGAACUACUUCUCUGCAGACCAGGGUUCAAACUAUAUUAAAUCUUUCAAAUACUUUCAGGGUUUACAGUACUUUAGUCUGCCUCAAGUGCCAAAUGGGUGGGGUUUAAACUUUUCAGACUAUUUUAUUGGUUCAAUUUUGUAAGGCAAGCUCAAUCAAACACAGCUAACGUAUUUGAAAUGAUUUCCAGUAGUAUUUGANNNNNNNNNNUUUGAGAGGGGAAAGGAGGAAAGGAGGCAACACGGACGGAGGAAGCAAGGAUUUGACGGCUUGUAAUGUUUUCAGACACAGCAUUUCAGGACAGACACAGUAGUGAUGACGAGAGAUGCAGCAGAAUAAGACGCUCAUUCAACAACUUUGAAAAACAGUCUGACAUAUUCAAGUGAAUCACUCUUCCUUACCUAAGGAGAUAAAUGGAGGACAUCGCCCCGAGACACUCAGUUUGACACUUCCCACCCACUAAUGAUUAAGGUUAGGAUUAGGGGAGGGUAAAAUGAUCCUAAUACCUGUGCCAACAGGCAGCUUCUACCCGGAGCAGAGAUUGAGGCAGUAGCAGAGAUUGAGGCAGCAGCAGAGAUUGAGGCANNNNNNNNNNUCUCUGUGUGUGUGUGGGGAGGAGCUCUCUCUGUGUGUGGGGAGGGGUUCUGUGUGUGUGUGGGGAGGAGGGGCUCUGUGUGUGUGUGUGUGUGUGUGUGUGUGUGAGGAGGGCUUCUGUGACCCCUGUGUGAUAUGACACUAAUAGAGGGACAGCUAGACUGGACUGCUCCCCUCAGGGUGAUCAGAUGCCCAUGACCUCAGAUUACUGACCCAUCAUCACAGCCCUGACACACACACACACACUACAGUUAGAUUAGUGUGCCAAUCUGUCCCUGUAAUAGCCUACUGUGUUGAUGUUGACAUUAAUACAUAAUCAGACUAUCAGAAGCCUGUGAGAGGAAGAGAUGAGCUACAUAUUGAUAGCCUGGGGGACGACAGACUGUUCCUGCAUUAGCCACCUGCACUAAAACUAACCAGUAAAGGUCUAUACAUCAUGGAGUUACACAUUUUUCUGAAAAGGGAUAAUGAAAGGAUAUUACUAGCUAGAGCCAACCACCAUUUCACAAUUGCUUGUUGAAUACUUCCACACAGCCAAUAGAAAAUAUGUUGCCACACCUCCAUCAAAACUGCUAUUUCCUGUGUUAGUCUAUGCAGUCAGCUCAGUACCAUUUUCCCAUGUUAUCAGCCAGUCAGUAGCACUCAGUAAUAGGGCUGGGAUAUGGCAAAUAAAUGAUCACGAUAUCUAUAUAUUUUUUCAUUCAAUAACGAUAAUUAUCACGAUAUUAAUCAAAUAAUGUUUAAAAGGUGCAUAUCUGCUUCAGACUCAAGAAUGCCUGAACAAACCACUAGGCAGGUAGCGUUGGGCCAGUAACCGAAAGGUUACUAGAUUGAAUCCCCGAGCUGACAAGGUAGAAAUCUGUUGUUCUACCCCUGUACAAGACAGUUAACCCACUGUUACUCAAUAGGCCAUCAUUGUAAGUAAGAAGUUAACUGACUUGUGUCGUGAUGUUGUAUUGAUUAAUGUGGCG